rnacentral:rRNA from 1 species
AGCAGCCGCGGUAAUUCCAGCUCCAAUAGCGUAUAUUAAAGUUGUUGCAGUUAAAAAGCUCGUAGUUGAAUUUCGGGAUCAAUAUAUUGGUCAUGCUUAGGUAUGUACUGGUAUUAUUGAUUUCUCCCUUCUGAAGAACCAUAAUGUCAUUAAUUUGAUGUCAUGGGGAAUCAGGACUGUUACUUUGAAAAAAUUAGAGUGUUUAAAGCAGGCUUUCGCUUGAAUACAUUAGCAUGGAAUAAUGAAAUAGGACGUUUGAUUCUAUUUUGUUGGUUUCUAGGAUCGACGUAAUGAUUAAUAGGGAUAGUUGGGGGCAUUAGUAUUCAAUUGUCAGAGGUGAAAUUCUUGGAUUUAUUGAAGACUAACUACUGCGAAAGCAUUUGCCAAGGAUGUUUUCAUUAAUCAAGAACGAAAGUUAGGGGAUCGAAGACGAUCAGAUACCGUCGUAGUCUUAACCAUAAACUAUGCCGACUAGGGAUCGGAUGAUGUUAAUUUUUAAUGACUC